rnacentral:rRNA from 1 species
GACGAACCGUGCGAACGUUGUUCGGAAUCACUGGGCUUAAAGGGCGCGUAGGCGGGUUGCCAAGUCCGGGGUGAAAGCCCCCAGCUCAACUGGGGAAGGGCCUUGGAUACUGGUGAUCUCGAGGGAGGUAGAGGCAUGCGGAACUUCCGGUGGAGCGGUGAAAUGCGUAGAUAUCGUAAGGAAGACCAGUGGCGAAGGCGGGUCUCUGGACAGUUCCUGACGCUGAGGCACGAAGGUCAGGGGAGCAAACGGG